GAAUGACAACCCAUUUUAAAGUGCAGUUCAUUUUUCUUAGGGUUUCAUACACUUUUCUCCGCCGUGUAAACUCCGGCGAAAACCCACGAUCAUCAUCUUUCUCUCGUCGCUCUAACCUAGGGUUUCAUACACUUUUCUGCCGCCGUAUAAAUUCCGGCGAAAACCCACGAUCAUCAACGAUCUACUCCAACGAUGGUGGUUGUUCCGUGUUUGAUCGGCGCUGCAUGUUCUUCUUCUUCUCUCUCACUCUCUCUCUCUCUCUGACAUUUCUUCCCAAACAACUGUAGGGUUAUUUCCGAUGUUGUUAGGGUUUGCGGUGUCAAUCGGUGCAUUGCUUGAUAAACACUCAAAUCGUCACUCUCUGCUCGUCUUAUCGUAUCCAGAUUUAACCUAACAUCAUCGAAACUCACUUCAUUUUGGACCUGGGUAAAGGGAUAUCAUUUCUGGAUCUGGUCGAACAACAGGGGACCAAUCUUCGUUGUGUGAUAAUGUAAUUUAUAAGGUUGCCAUGAAUUGAUAUGUUAUUUUCUUUGACUUCUCCGUUACUAUUACUGUCAUUUGUUCCAUCAGUUUGUUGCUGUUCAAUCAUAAUUGGUGACUACAUGAAGUAAAAAUACUUAUUAAAGACAUGGGUUGUAAAUCAAACACAAAGCAAGAAGAUAAUUGGAAACUGCCGCUAACUGAAUAAUCAUGGGAGAGAGAGUGCAAAACCGACGCCAACUGCUGCUUCUAGAAGGAAUUUAGUGACUUUAAACGGCUGAGAUUAAAAGUUGAUGACUUUGAACGGCUGUAAUUAGCCCAAAUGGCGGUUACAAGCAACGGGAACAAUAUAAUAUAGAAUAUCAGGGUCUUCAAAUGCGCCUACUGUACCAACAUAUACAACAAUCAUUCAUAAAAAUUAAGCGAAAAAAUUUAUCGGAACUUGGUUCAUGCACGGUAAGAUCCAAACACAAACUUGAUGUAUGGUUAUGAGUAUUGAUAAAAAAAAAAAUUCAGAUAAUUCAAAAACAAA